UGGGUUGUGGCUCAGUGGUAGAGCGCAAGCAUGUGUGAGGCACUGGGUUCGAUUCUCAGCACCUUAU
rnacentral:tRNA from 1 species